rnacentral:rRNA from 1 species
UACGGAGGAUCCAAGCGUUUAUCCGGAUUUAUUGGGUUUAAAGGGUGCGUAGGCGGCCUAUUAAGUCAGGGGUGAAAGACGGUAGCUUAACUAUCGCAGUGCCUUUGAUACUGAUAGGCUUUGAAUGUACUUGAGGUAGGCGGAAUGUGACAAGUAGCGGUGAAAUGCAUAGAUAUGUCACAGAACACCAAUUGCGAAGGCAGCUUACUAAAAGUAUGAUUGACGCUGAGGCACGAAAGCGUGGGGAUCAAACAGG